GUGCGUAGGCGGGUAUAUCUACGCAGUUGUGUUUUUGUGCGUGUGUAUGUGUCCGUGCGGCGUUGUGCGCACGCGCGUCUGCUCACCAUUGGCCUAGAAGGGGCUACAACGCCUGUACCCAGAUUCACAGCGACACGCGCGUACACAUACAGACAGAGGGCACAGGCCCAGUCACAGAGAGAAGCGCUGGAGAAGUGAGGGCCGGCGGGUGAGGGGUCACCCGUCGUUGCUAUUCAUGUCGAGCAGCGCCGUCCCUGCGUACGAGGAGAAGCAAAAGGUUUACGCUCUCCUCAACGGUACCUUCCAUGCGGCGAUUGUGCUGGAGGUAGCAGAAGACGCAACAGAGGGCGGCUUUCUCUACUACGUUCGCUACGUGGAGCAGGACAGCAGGCUGGAUCAAUGGCUGCAGGCGAGCGACAUCAAGGAACGUCACCAGGGCCGCGCACAACAUGGAAGCAGCAGCACCCAUCAGCAGUACACCCCGAGCGGUAUCAAGACGCGGCGGCAGAGCCACGUGACAGAGCAGCAGAAUGCAGAGACGGCAGUGCUGACGGGCGAAGGGGUUGGUAUGUCUACAGAGGUUUCGGCAAACGCGAAAGGCGGCGGCGCCGCCUCGCACUUGGUAAAAGUGUCGAAGACGCGUGCGCGACGCGAUAGCGCGUUUUUCUCACGCACCAAGAACAUCUACUCGAUCUGCAUGGGGCCGCACGAGGUGGAGACGUGGUACUUCAGCCCGUACCACCUCGCCCGCCCAGAGGUGCAGCAGCGACUGCAGGCAGCGUCUCAGUGUGUAACGGGGAGCACCGAGCUGCAGUUGGUUCAAUCCACCACGCCGUCAGGCGGUACUAGUGGUGUGAGCAGUGGUAUCGCCGGCGUUGGUGGUGGCGCUGGUGGCAGCGGGAGUGUGAGCGUAGGGGGGGGUGGGUCAGGCAGAGGGAAUGGUGCCGGUACGCGGCAGUGGCCAAUCGCUACGCGCUCCUUCUCUCUCCACAUAUGCCCCUACUGCCUGCGGCCGUUCCUUGACAACGCAGCGGUAGUGCGGCAUCUCCAGCAAGACUGCCUGCGCCAUCCCCCUGGCAACGAGAUCUACCGCGACCCAGUGCGGCGCCUCGUCGUGUUGGAGCUGGACGGCUCGCUGGAGCCGACCUUCUGUGAGCACCUUGCUCUUCUCUCGAAGCUCUUUCUUGAGCACAAGGCUCUGGACCACGACAUGACGCCCUUCCUGUUCUACGUACUGUGCUCCAUGGAGACGCACGGCCUGCAAGUGUUGGGGUACUUCAGCAAGGAGAAGCAAACCCCCGAGCCGUACAACCUGUCAUGCAUCUUGGUGCUACCGCAGUAUCAGAGCCGCGGCAUUGGUCGAUUCUUGAUCGAGCUCAGCUACGAGCUCUCGCGCCGUGAGGGCAAGGUCGGCACGCCGGAGAAGCCCCUCAGCGACUUGGGUGAGAAACUGUACCUAAGCUACUGGGCCGACUCCGUCACCAUGGCCAUUGCCCGGGCUAUGGAGGAAGGCCACUGCGUCUCUGUGGAUUACCUGGUGCAGGCAACGGCGAUGAUUCAGGCAGAUGUGAUACGAGCCUUACAGCACCAGAAGCUUCUGAACGGGCAUCAGCUGACCAUCUCCGAGGACAUUGUCGAACGGUGCUACACGAAGCGCCUCACCAAGGAACGGGACAUCACGAGCUACACCUUCUACGCGCACUUGCUCAGCUGGGCCCCCGGCUUCUACGAAGAGUUUCGUGGCGUGCCGCCAGCGCCAGCGUUUGUGCCUUGGCGCGACCCAAGAGCGCCCCACUCGCGAACCGGCGGUUGACGAGGGCGCGCGAGGUGCGCGCAAGGAAGCAACCCUGCAACGUUUUCCUCUGAACCAUCAUCCUCCCCCUCCUUUCCCACUCCUCCUUUCUGGCUGCCGCACUCUCCAUGGAGCGGCUCUGAGGAAGAAGUGGGGUGGUGAAGGCCGAGGUUGGAAUUACGAUGACACCGCCUGUCCGCUAGAGGGAGAGAUGAAUGACCGCGAUGACGACAAAUCGAAGGAGUCCGCGCGCAUGUUAGCCUCUCUGGCCGCAGCGGUGUGCCAUGGAGCCAAUCCGUGAAGGAGCCUAGCGAGAAGCUAACGCGACACGUGCGCGUCACAUCUCUCCCUUCAGCCGCGUAUCACGUUGGCCACUAGUCUGCCCCUGCACCAUUCCUCGUGGUAAGAAGCGAAUGAGCAAGAUGUCUCUCCAUGCAGCGCAUGUGCGCGCGGAUGAUG
rnacentral:misc_RNA from 1 species